ACACUCUCUCUUUUAUCUUCACCCACUUCUUCACUAAUUCCAAAAACAAGAAAAAGUCCGCAACAAAAAGACUUUUACGAAUGGCGAUUUACAGAUCUUUACUUUUGAUCAUUCUUCUUUUCAUUUCCGUCUCUCUAUCGACGGCCAGGAUCUUACCCGGAGAGUUUCUUCCGGUCAUUGAUGACGUCGUAUUCUCCGGAGAGAUACCUCCUGUUUCUAAGUCGACGGCGGUGGGUUGCGGAGGAGCAGGAGACGAAGACGGAAUACUCUUCUUUUGUUCCUGAAGUUGUCGCCGGAAAGUUCGGCUCCUUGGUGUUGAAUGCUCUUCCGAAAGGGAAUCGUCCGGGGUCUGGGCCCAGCAAGAAAACUAACGACGUCAAGACUUAGAACUGUUCUUUGUCGAGUUUUCUGUCCUAAUUCUUACUUUUUUUUGUCCUUUAGAGAUUCUUUGAUUUUUCAUUUUCAUAUAGAGAUUGUUGUAAAUGUUACAUGUAUUACAGAAAAUUACUCUAGUAGUUUACGAAAAAUUAGGAUUUUAUUUGGUCAUUUUUAAUCGAAAUGAUCAAAAAUCAGAUUAUCAAUAUUUGUUUGAUAAAUGUUAAUCAGUUUUACUAA